GAUGAACGCUGGCGGCGUGCCUAAUACAUGCAAGUCGAGCGAACAGACGAGGAGCUUGCUCCUCUGACGUUAGCGGCGGACGGGUGAGUAACACGUGGAUAACCUACCUAUAAGACUGGGAUAACUUCGGGAAACCGGAGCUAAUACCGGAUAACAUGUUGAACCGCAUGGUUCAACAGUGAAAGACGGUUUUGUUGUCACUUAUAGAUGGAUCCGCGUCGCAUUAGCUAGUUGGUAAGGUAACGGCUUACCAAGGCAACGAUGCGUAGCCGACCUGAGAGGGUGAUCGGCCACACUGGAACUGAGACACGGUCCAGACUCCUACGGGAGGCAGCAGUAGGGAAUCUUCCGCAAUGGGCGAAAGCCUGACGGAGCAACGCCGCGUGAGUGAAGAAGGUCUUCGGAUCGUAAAACUCUGUUAUUAGGGAAGAACAAAUGUGUAAGUAACUAUGCACGUCUUGACGGUACCUAAUCAGAAAGCCACGGCUAACUACGUG
rnacentral:rRNA from 1 species